GGCACGGUGGCGCAGUGGUUAGCACACUUCACAGCAAGAAGGUUGUGGGUUCGAAUCCGGCCUGGUGCCU